rnacentral:antisense_RNA from 1 species
CUUCAGCGAACCGAGGUAGAGCGGCCGGUCCUCGGGCCGGUCCUGCCCGUAGGUGGCGAUCAGCGCCUGCGCCUC